rnacentral:lncRNA from 1 species
GGAGCAUCUUGGCUGCAGUUUCAGCAAUCACAACGUUUGAAUCCAUCUCUCAUAAUCUGGAUGAGGAUUCAUGGUACCACGGAUAUUUUUUAGACAGGAGCUCAGGUGGAUCGUCUAAUAGCUGAAAUGGCUCCAUAAAUAAACUUCAACUUGAAGGCUCCGUUGGAGUACAUUGCCCAAGUCAGAAUUUUCAAAUUUGUUGUUACAGGAUCUCAAAAUUAUAGGUAUGGAGUGAGUUCCAAAUCAGAAACACACGUCUUUCCAGUUCACUUCGGAUGGUUACAUACCGCUAACUUUUGCAAGAAAUGUACUUUUGAAAAAUGGGAAAAACAGAAGAAAAAAAAGAAGAAGAAGAAGAAAAACAAUCUGGACAAGCAUUUAUGUUUUAAUGAUCCAGGAAGGCUGCAUUGCAGAGUCAAGCUGCA